rnacentral:rRNA from 1 species
CCUACGGGAGGCAGCAGUGGGGAAUAUUGCACAAUGGGGGAAACCCUGAUGCAGCGACGCCGCGUGAGUGAAGAAGUAAUUCGUUAUGUAAAGCUCUAUCAGCAGGGAAGAAAAUGACGGUACCUGAGUAAGAAGCCCCGGCUAACUACGUGCCAGCAGCCGCGGUAAUACGUAGGGGGCAAGCGGUAUCCGGAUUUACUGGGUGUAAAGGGAGCGUAGACGGCAGUGCAAGUCUGGAGUGAAAGGCGGGGGCUCAACCCCCGGACUGCUCUGGAAACUGUACGGCUGGAGUGCAGGAGAGGUAAGUGGAAUUCCUAGUGUAGCGGUGAAAUGCGGAGAUAUUAGGAGGAACACCAGUGGCGAAGGCGGCUUACUGGACUGUAACUGACGUUGAGGCUCGAAAGCGUGGGGAGCAAACAGGAUUAGAUACCCGAGUAGUC